AUUGAACGCUGGCGGCAUGCUUUACACAUGCAAGUCGAACGGUAACAGGUUAAGCUGACGAGUGGCGAACGGGUGAGUAAUGCAUCGGAACGUGCCCGAUCGUGGGGGAUAACGCAGCGAAAGCUGCGCUAAUACCGCAUACGAUCUGAGGAUGAAAGCGGGGGACCGUAAGGCCUCGCGCGAUCGGAGCGGCCGAUGUCAGAUUAGGUAGUUGGUGGGGUAAAGGCUCACCAAGCCAACGAUCUGUAGCUGGUCUGAGAGGACGACCAGCCACACUGGGACUGAGACACGGCCCAGACUCCUACGGGAGGCAGCAGUGGGGAAUUUUGGACAAUGGGCGAAAGCCUGAUCCAGCAAUGCCGCGUGCAGGAAGAAGGCCUUCGGGUUGUAAACUGCUUUUGUACGGAGCGAAAAGGCCCUCUCUAAUACAGGGGGUUUAUGACGGUACCGUAAGAAUAAGCACCGGCUAACUACGUGCCAGCCGCCGCGGUAA
rnacentral:rRNA from 1 species